UCACAUCCGCUGUUUCUGCUCUGUUGUUUUCUAAAUUGCGCUGCAAGAAUCUUAUCUCUGCGUUCCUCAAUUGGGUAUUUUUCUUGAGACUUUUUUUUUUUUGCUGGGCUGCCUUCGCAAAUUAAAGAAAAACCCAUAAGCAAUGGAAAACAAGAAGCACUUGGGCUCUUCUUCGUCAGCUGCUGAUCUUUUGGGUUCCAAGAAAUCGCCGCCGCCGUCUGGCGCUGGAAUUUUCGCGUCAAUUUUUCCACCGCCCCCGUCGGUUGUGCGUAGGAACUACUCGUGCUCGGAUCUCGUGGGAUGUUUGCAAGAGCAGUCCACAAGGGAUGAAGUUUGGGGCACCAGACAAUUAACUGCAGAGAUUACAGCUGACAAAAAUGAAGGCCCAAAAAGUUGCAUAACCAACAAGGAAAAGAAAUCCAUCUUCCUUGAAAGAGUAGAAACAUCUCCUCUAAGUUCAUCUCUCUAUUACGGUGGACAAGAAGACAUGUACAUCUGUUCUUCGAGCACUAAAAGCUCCGGCGCCUACCCUUUUACCAAGCAAGGAGUGGAAGAUGAUUCAUAUGGAUCCAAUUCAGAGAGCGCUUGUAGAGGGAAUUGGUGGCAAGGGUCGCUUUAUUAUUGAGACUUGACCCCGCCUAGGAUGUGAAUUGUGAAUAUAUUUACCAAGGUAGAGUAAUGGUACCUUUUCCAUGAAUCAUUUCACGCAUCUAUCUUGUUGUUUGGAAAUAGGAAUCCUUCUACUUUUGCAGUAUGUGAGCGGCAGGGGUUAUUAUGUACAACAUCUUAUCGUUCAAAUACAGUGAGUUAUGGAAAGCCUAAAUGUUGAUCUCAAUUGGUUCAACUGGAAUGAUAAACGUGCCUUUUGCACAUGUGCAAUCCUAUAAGAACACUCUCCUACAUUGUCAUAAAAUAUCCGUUCUUGUUAAAAUUUAUCUUGCUGUUGAAUAUGCUAAUUGCUAAGUAAAUAGCAUUUGUGUCAAUCUCCAAGUAUGAUGUGCGUACGUCUUUCUUUCUAUUCAGUAUGCUAGAAAAUACCUUUUAUGUCGAUCUCUUUGAAGUAUGAUGUGCAUGGUUCUAUCUUCCGGUUAUAUAUGCUAAUUCGGCCCCAUUUUGAUUCAGUUGUUUAACCUGAUGUUACUUUCUUGUAUCAAAUUUUGCAGGAAUUCACAUUUUGGCAGCGAUUUAAUUUGGAAUCUCUUAUAGCAUAUGCAGUAUUACGCAUACCUUUAUUGGACAGAACCUAUAAGUUCUUUUUUUCUUUUUUCUUCGUAUAUGGAACUCACGAUGUUACAGUGGGAAAUCCUUGUCAAUUUUUUUCUGAGGAGGUUUCCCUAUGAUUUUUCAUUUCUUACCAAGAUGGUCUACCCAUAAUACUUGUGGCCUUGAUAUUAGGGAUUUCACGUGUAAUUGACCAAUAUUAGUAAAGUUUUCAACUAGAAAUAAUGGAACGAGGAAGGUUCUUAUGUUUCCCAA